rnacentral:lncRNA from 1 species
AAACCCCCAGGUUCCCGUCGCUGUAGACGAACCUGCAUCUGAGGUCGGGCCCCGCUCGGCUUUCGCGUCGGGCACCAUUCCGUGUUCCUCGACCUCGGAGGAACUCCUUCUGAUAAGGGUUCAGUACGGAGUUCCUCUGGAGUACGAUUUGGAACUGCCAGGUCCUUCCGACCAGGCCAGCAAUCCUCCACCCGGUCGCUUCUGUUUAUACCAGGAAGCAUUCCGUGCCGGGCUCCGGCUCCCGCUUCCUUCUUU